ACGAAAAAUUAGGUGUCUAUUUACUUGUGACCACUAAGUGUAUAUAUAUAUAUACACAUAUAUAGUUGUGUUAAACUGAUCAUUUCAAUAUGCUCCUUUGUUUAACCUAUUAUGUUUACCAUUUUCUUUUGUACAUAAAUCUUAUGCAUAAAAUAAAUAAAAUCCUAUUUUGUUAAACUUGUAUUGUUUGCAAAUCCACUAAUACUAAAGGGUACUAAGAGAAAUAUAAAACACAAAGUACAUAUUUACUAAAAAAGAGAACUGUAAGUCAACAGAAGAGUCAUUAAGUAUUCUUCUAAGAAUGACUAUAUUCAUGCAACAAUAUAAAGCAAGAAAUCACACCAAGAGUAAACAGUACAAUUAGUGAUUAUAAUUAAAGACCAAAUAUACUCAUUCAAAAUUGUAAAGCUAGAAACUACACUGAGAGUCAACAGUACAAUCAGUAAGUAUAAUUUUAUUUAUUUACAUGCUAGAAAAGGUUAACACUGGCCAAAGCAUAAAGUUUUCCUUCUUCCAGUUCUGGAGUUCCAGCACAGCAUAUGUUUCUGUAAGCAGUCCAUGUACCAUUUCACCAUACCUAAUUCCAAACCACCAGCCAGCAGCAUCAAAUUUCUUUAAACCUUGUUAUUAUUAAUUAUUGUGUAUCACUUUUUUCUAAUUUUUAACAUUGUAAAUAAAAUUAUUUUAAUAUUACUUACACUAUUAUUUUACACUUGAGGAGUUUAGCACAGGUUUUCAUUUUUCCAAUAAUCUCAAAGUUCUGUUUAUAUUGCCAAUUCAAUUUGAUAUAAGUAGCAUCUGUACUUGUCACAUACUUAUAUGUUUGCUUCACUUCCAUAUUCCCCUCACUUUUCUCCUGUCUUCUACCAGUUACUCAUGUCACUUCUCUUCCAUGUUUUUCCUGUUCCCUCAGAGCACAUGCCAUUUCAUGUACAACAUCACUUGGAGUUCUUACCAGGUUGCCCAAUAGCUGUGCUUUACCAUUUACUGUCAGUGGUCUCCUUUCUGUUUGAAUGAUAUAUUGCUGUUACUGGAAUAUAGUUCAGAAGAGUCUUCAAGUUUCUGAAAGGAACAGAAGAAAUUUAUCAAACUUCAUGUGCCAUCCCUAAACCAAAAAUUAUUGAAGAUGUUGAUGGUAGUGUGCUGGAACUUCUACGAGUAAGACGACGACGCCCAUAUAACACAUACAGCAGUGAAGAACGGUUCCUGAUUGGGCAGUAUGCAGCUCAACAUGGAAACACCAAAGCAGCAGAGUAUUUUACUAAGAUGUUAAAAAAAGAAAUAUCUGAAAGUGUUGCAAGAAGAUUCAAGAAUAUUUAUCUUAAGUUUAGGAAAUAAUAUAGGUUCAAAAAAGAAACAAAUUAAUUACUGUACAUCUGACUGUUUAAGCAACAUAGUCAGUGAAGAGAAAGAAAAUAAUGGAAGUAAAUGCUUGUCACUAACUUUGUUAUUUGUCAGGUCUUCUUUGCUUUGUAAUAAAAUGUAUGCUUCAAAUAUAUUUUGGGCAAAGUUAAUUUCUGUGUAAUUACCUAUUUUUGGGUUUUGCAUGAGAGAUGUAUCCAAACUUUGGCUCUGAAAAGAUUGAAUCAAUCAUUGAUCUGAUUGCUCCAAGUAUGUUUGGAUCAACUGAUGAUCUUAAAUCCUUGAGUUACUUUGCAUCACAACUUGAGCCUAAACCUUUGUAAAGGUCCCUAUUAGUCCAGAUUGUAAAUUCCUAAGUUAGUUUCCAUUAAGACUUUACCCUAAGCCCCUUUUAAAGUUUUUAUUAGUCCCUGAUCUUAAACUCUUGAGUUAAAUGGGAUAAACUUUCAGUUUUUAGCCUCUGAGUAUAUCUUCUUGAGCCUGAGAGUACACUUCAAACAAUUUCUUAUCCUGUUUUGCUCAAAUAGUAUUUAAAAUUAAUCUCUAUAAUUCAUCUGGUUUGAAGACCUAGAACAGUAUUUUAGAUUUAGCCCCUUAUUUCAUCUAAUUUGUAAAUGUAGAACAAUAUUUUUAAUUUAGUUGCUUAGUUCAUUGGGUUUAAAGACCUAAGACAGUAUUUAAAGUUAGCUCCUUAAUACACCUUGUUUGAAGACCCAGAACAUUAUUUAAAAAUAGUCUUCUUAGUUCACUUGGAUUGAAGACCUAGAGCAUUACUUGCAAUUAAGCAUUCACCUGGUUUGAAGGCCUGGAACACUAUUAAAAAUUAGGUUUCUUAUUUGGACAAGAUUAAUAUCUUAUCUUAAGCCACUGAGACAACUGGGGUUAAUACAUGAUCUCAAUAUUGUUGGGAAACAUUGUAUUAAACGAAAAGAAAUGCAGUUUUUUUUAUAUAUUUCAAUUUAUUCCACAACUUUGUUCAAGAACUAAGCAACCACCAAACUUCUGAAUAAGUACGUGAAAAUUGAUACUCUUGUAAAAUACUCAAAACUGUUAAAUUUUCAGUUGAGGGUUAUUUUAGAGUUUUGAUUUGAUGUAAUUUUAAUAAUGUCUCUUACAAAAAUGUGACUUCUAUUUCAUUUAAUACAGGCUUCACUCACAUUUUCAAACAAAUCUGGGUACCAGAAAUUAAUUUUAGAUAGAUAAAUUUCAACGUAUGGUAUAUUGUCUUCCAAAACAAGUUAUGUUUCCAAACUUAGAGUAAUGAAAGUUCCAUAUCAACCAUUUUUGAGAGAAAUGCAUGAACUGUAGUGAACAAAGGUUAGAAUCUGAUUUUAUGUACUUUCGUGAAAAUGUUCUCAUUAAAAAGUAUCUAUAGAUAUCUGUUUGACUAAAAAAAAAAGCAUUAUGAUUUUCAGGUUAAGAAAGUUUUGUAUGGUUGUUCUUGCAGAAGCAGUGACUAUCAAUUGACAAACAUUUUUUUUAUCUUGAUCUUAGUGUCUUUGUACAACCAGCUUAUUACACCAUGAAAAGUUACUUGAAAAUAUUUUUCUUCAACAUGCUAUGAAUUGUGGAAAAAAUAACAGACAUCAAGUAUAUGAUAAAGUUUUACAACUAAAAAUAUGAAAAAAAGGAAAUAAAAAAAUUAACACAGGAUAUGUUAUAGUAUCCUGGGUUUUCUUUGCUGAUUGGAAACACUACCAAGCACAGGAAUUUUCUUUUCAUUGGAUGAUAUUUAUGAUUUUGUUCAAGUUACUUGCUCAAAAGACAGCAGCAAUCGAUCCUGGACUCUCGACCAAAUGAUUUUUGCUAUUCAUGCUGUUGUAGAUAAAGGCAUGUCAUAUCGAGAAGCCUCAGCAAGCUGUGGCGUUAAAAGAACUAGGCUGUGUGAUCUAGUUAGAGCAUUUCGGCAAAAGGUUGAAGAAAAGGGCCAAACAGAGUCUACUUCAUUUUUCAGCAGCAGAGGCAAAACAAGUGUUUUCUUCCUGUUAUCAAGGACUCCUUAAGAAGAAGGCAUAAUGGGGACAUUUUGCAAGAUUAACUACUCUUAAGAUUAAGGAGCCUGAAUUUGAGGGGUAUGAACCUAGCAGAGCCAUUGAAUAUUGGCCUACUCUGGAUGGCACCAAGUGAGCAAAGAUUGGCUACAAGAGCAGUUACAAGUCAUACAGUGUCCAAGCAAGGAGUCCACUGUCACAUUUGUAAUAAAUAUUUGAAUACUCGGUCAUAUCUUAGAAAGCAUCUAGCUCUGCAUGAAGGCACCUGUCCUGAGUUUGAAUGUGACAUUUGUCACAAAGUUUUUAACUGGAAAACCAACUUGGUUCGUCAUAAGUAUGCUGUGCAUAAGGAAACACACAAUAGCGAGUUUUCAAACAUAAGUUUGCGUGACUCUUCAUUUUAAAAUCUCUGUUUCCCAAAUACAUGUAUUUUUAAACUUGCAUAAAUUUUCAUCAAAAGAUCUUAAUGGAUGUUAGUAGUAAUCCAUUUAUUUCAUUAAUGAGAUAAAAGCAUAGAUUAUCCUAUGUGGGAUUUCGAUUGUUUUAAUUAUUUACAAAUAGUGCAGUCAGUUUAAAUUUAGAAGAGUUUAAGAUUUUUUUAGGCAUUAUUAACCUGCUGUGUUUUUAUAAAGUAAAUUAUAGAUUUUUUAAAUUAGCAGAGUUACGUAGAAUUUCAUACUGGUCAUAUUUCUAAUUAAUUUUCAAAGAUUGUCAAACAGGGCAUGAUCUUUAUGUAUCCAUAUAUCAUUUUAUGCUUUUUGGAAGUUUUUAUUGAUUUUUGUAUUUCAAUGAUAUGACCUGAAUAAAAUUAUUUUGUAAGGAUUGAAUCUCUCUACUUAUUUUUUCUUUAAUUUACUGUGGUUAUUUGAAGACAUUUAUUAUAAGACUUGCAAUGAUAAGUAAGGUGUUUUACUAUGUCAGGUGUGUGGAACAGCAGUGUAAGGUCAAGUGGUUAAUUAUGUCAGAUGUGUGGAGCAGCAGAGUUAAGUCAGACAUAUUUUUAAAGUCAGAUGUUUAAAACAAUUUUAAGUUAAUGGUUUUA
rnacentral:lncRNA from 1 species